rnacentral:rRNA from 1 species
UAGUGGCGAACGGGGUAGUAACGCGUAGGAACGUACCAAAAAGUCAGGAAUAGCCCAUCGAAAGAUGGAUUAAUACUUGAUAGUCCCUCCGGGGUAAAGAUUUAUCGCUUUUUGAUCGGCCUGCGUAGUAUCAGCUUGUUGGUGAGGUAAUGGCUCACCAAGGCUAUGACGCUUAGGGGAGCUGAGAGGCUGACCCCCACCAUUGGAACUGCGACACGGUCCAAACUCC